UACGUAGGGGGCAAGCGUUGUCCGGAAUCAUUGGGCGUAAAGAGCGUGUAGGCGGCCCGAUAAGUCCGCUGUGAAAGUCCAGGGCUCAACCCUGGGAUGCCGGUGGAUACUGUCGGGCUCGAGUCCGGAAGAGGAGUGUGGAAUUCCUGGUGUAGCGGUGAAAUGCGCAGAUAUCAGGAAGAACACCAAUGGCGAAGGCAGCUCUCUGGGACGGUACUGACGCUGAGGCGCGAAAGCGUGGGGAGCGAACAGG
rnacentral:rRNA from 1 species